GACGAACGCUGGCGGCGUGCUUAACACAUGCAAGUCGAACGGAAAGACCCUGCUUUUGUGGGGUGCUCGAGUGGCGAACGGGUGAGUAACACGUGAGUAACCUGCCCUUGACUUUGGGAUAACUUCAGGAAACUGGGGCUAAUACCGGAUAGGAGCUCCUGCUGCAUGGUGGGGGUUGGAAAGUUUCGGCGGUUGGGGAUGGACUCGCGGCUUAUCAGCUUGUUGGUGGGGUAGUGGCUUACCAAGGCUUUGACGGGUAGCCGGCCUGAGAGGGUGACCGGCCACAUUGGGACUGAGAUACGGCCCAGACUCCUACGGGAGGCAGCAGUGGGGAAUAUUGCACAAUGGGAAGCCUGAUGCAGCAACGCCGCGUGCGGGAUGACGGCCUUCGGGUUGUAAACCGCUUUCGCCUGUGACGAAGCGUGAGUGACGGUAAUGGGUAAAGAAGCACCGGCUAACUACGUG
rnacentral:rRNA from 1 species